GCCUCGGUAGUGUAAUGGAUCAGCAUGACAGACCCGAUAUCUGCGCGGGUUCGAGUCCCGCCUGAGGUU
rnacentral:tRNA from 1 species